UCUUUCUUUCUCUCUUCCUCCCCCCUUCCCUCCCUUCUUGCCUUCCUGCCUUCCUUUUGGCUGGCACAGAAAAUAAUGAUGUACUCCACCAUUGAUUAUAUCUUACAGGCAGUGGUGUCUUAGAUUUAAAUGAAAUAUGGCAGUGUCUUUUUUUCUAAGAGUUUAUUUAUAUAUUUGAGAGAGAAAGAGCACAAGCUGGCAGAGGGGGGCAGAGAGGGAGGAAGAAACAGACUCCCUGCUAAGCAGGGAACCCAACUUGAGGUUCCAUCCCAGGAUCUGAGCCGAAGGCAGAUGCUUAACCGACUGAGCCACCCAGGCACCCAACAUGUGGCAGAGUCAGUAUUGAGGCUUUCUUGGAGCUCUGAAGGGUCAUGGAAGAUAAGAGGAAAACCUUGCAGACUGUAAAAUGCAACUGGUGAUCUGGGUUGUCAUUUCAACGUCACAUGAUUUGGAGUUGGAGAGACUGGCCCGAAGGCUGAGACCCUGCUAUAGACUGAGUGACGUCACCCCCACGCACCCACCCAGCCCUUCUCCACACAUGUCCAAAGGAAAAGAAAAGCACAGAACACAUCCUGAGUCUCCACGAAGUGAUUAAUGAGCUAAAAUUCACUUUUGAUUCGAGAAGGUCCUGACUUGCUAGCUCCUCAUUGGUCUCCACAUGGGGCACACCAUCUUGUCACUCUCCACCCGCGUUCCCUCCCAGACCCCCAGGACAACAAGACACCUAGGUCAAGAAAGAAAGAGACAGAGAAAAUACAUUCUAUUCUUCUCCAUCUGACUAAGGCUUGACACUGGGAGUGACCUCAUUGUCUUCAAGAAUCCUGGCCUCACCUUUACAGGUCUCAGCAGGACACCUCUAUCUUUGUAUGACUAGCGGGUGAUAGCACCAACUGUUGUGCAUGGAAUAAAUGGUCCUAUGUUGGUGGCAGGGAUAAUCUCCAUCUCCACAGAGCGUUGCUUGUACCUCUGUCCUGUGUGUCAUUAUGUUAACAAUAGGAAGGCAUAUAUGGGAGAACUCCUGUGGUUGAGCUGGAUCUUAGAGACCUCCAGAUGAGGAGCUAUUUGUCCUGGACAAAAGUUCCCUGAUUGAUCACUGUGUCCACAGCACAUUAUCAACCUCAGGGGGCCUUACUUUAGACAAAACACUGUCUACAGUGGUGCUAUGGAGUAUCUGUUCUCAGUAUUUGUUGCUUAUUUUGGUCAUGGUAUCAGUAGAGAUAAAUGCCUAUUGUUAAAAGGCCUAGAGCUACUAUUUGAGGAUAGUUGGCCCCAAAGCCCCAUGUGACAGAGAAAAAAGAUAAAAGAUGGCAAACGAGAUAAUUUCUCUCAUUCUAUCCACCCAGGCCAUAAAAUGUGAAUGCCAUUUUUUAGGUGGUAGGGAGCUGUGAACGUUUCUAUUAAACUUUGUGAGGAACCACCUGACCUUAUGUGGCAGAUUGUAUUUUCCAAAGGUGGCCCCACCAAUAUCUUCCAUCCCACAUGCUCUUCUGCAAUGUGACGUUGCUACUCUCUCAAGAGAUGGGUCUAAUGGGUCACCUAUCCUUGAAUCUGGCUGGACUUAGUGACUCCCAUGUAAGAUUGCCUGGUUUAGCAGAAAAACAAAACAAAACAAAACAAAACAAAAACAAAAACAAGAUGCCCAGUUAAAUUUUGAUUUCAGAUAAACAGUGAGUGAUUUUUUAAUGUAAGUAUGUCCCAUGUAGUGUUUGUAUUUUAUUUCACCCCUCUUCUCAUGUAACCAUAGAAUGUGACAGAAGGGUUGCACAUGACUUCUAAGGCUAGAUUAGAGGAAGCUUGAAGUGUCUGUCUUGGUCUCUUAGAACCCUUGCUCUAUUGAUGCUGCCUUUUGGGACACACCCUCUUGGUAAACAUGUACUGUGAGAAAACCGAACCUCAUGUAGAUUCUCCAAAGAUCCCAGCCCAGGUGCCAGGCAUGUGGGUAAAGGCACCACUACCAGAGCAGGCUUACCAACAGAAUUUUCUAUGGUGAUGGAUAUGUUCUAUAUCUGUAUUGUCCAAUACUGCAGCUGCUAUCCACAUACAUCUGUGUUCAAUCCACUAGCCAUAUGUGGCCAUAGAAUCUUAAAAUGUGGGCAGUGCCACUGAGUAACUAAAUUUUAAAUUUUAAUUAAUUAAUUUUAUUUUUUUAAAGACUUUAUUUGAGACAGAGAGAGAGAGAGAGAAAGAGAGAGAGAGAGCAUGAGCAGGGGGGGAGAGGGAGAAGUAGUCUCCCCAUGGAGUAAGGAGCCCAAUAUGGCUCGAUCCCAGGACCCUGGGAUCAUGACCUGAGUGAGCCAAAGGCAGACACUCAACUGACUGAGCUACCCAGGGGCCCCAUUUUUAGUUAAUUUAAAUGUACAUUUAAAUAGCUGCAUGUGGCCACUGUUUGGACACUAUAGUUGUAAAUGAUUUCAGUACCCAGCCCUUGGAGUCAAUCCUACUCAUUUGAGUCUUUCUAGUUGAGGCCUUAGGUAUCUAGGUGCAGAGCAAAGACCCCUCAACAGUGCUCUGUCCAAAUCCCAACCCACAGAAUCCAGAACAUUAACAAAAAGGGUGUUGUAUGUUGCCAAGUUUGGGGUUGUUUAUUAUGCAGCAGGAGAUAAUCAGAACAAAGUGUACCAAGAAAGACUAUCUAGAGGAGGGUUCCAAAUCCAAAGGCCCUAGGGCCAGGAAGCAAGUAAAUGAAAAGAACAGCCCAAGGUGAUUGUAGCCAAGACCCAUGAAAAGGGCAAGGAUCAGUCAUCUAGUUAAACAAUGUUCUUCAGUUUCUAGUGACCCAGAGAGGCCUCAGGCCUGGAGGGUAAAGAUUUCUGCUGACUCUACUUACGAGGCGUGACAUCUCAAGUCACUUUUAAUUUUGAGCCCCAAUUUCUUAACCUAUAAAGUAGGACUGAAAUGACCUGUCUACACAGGUUGGCUUAGCAUGUUGGAGGAUCCAAGGAGCUUGUGGAACGAGGGCACAUUGUUUGCUCCUCACACUGGAAUCCAUCCUCACAGACCUGCUCAGUCCUCUGCUCCGGAACAGCUUUGCAAACCCACUACAGCAGCUCAUGUUUCACUUACAGGAGCUCUGUGGUUUUAGGCACCAAAUCUUAUUAAACAAGAUGAAACUGUUAAAAGAAACCUCAUGGUUUUUCUGGGUAUCUGGUGGGGCUCUGUUUCUGUGGAGGCUUUUAGCUCUGAGUUGCACACUUUGCUGAAGCUGGUUUCCAGUGAUGAUCAUUGAAAUGGGCCUGGGGUGCAAGGCCCCAGGAGCCCUGAUGGACUGGCCUUGGGGCCUAGACAUCUGAGGGUGGGUCUCAGUGUUCUCUCAGAUGUCAAAGGAAUUGUUGUUUGGAACUAAAUUCUGGCCAACAAGGAGCAGUGAGCCUAUGUAUGAAAUCUAAGAGCACAUGGCAUGUGUAUAGUCAGUGUGCUCUAGAUUUCAGGAUGGGAGAUUUCAAGAAAGUUCAGGGAAAGGAUGGGCAUGAUCCCAUGUCCCGAGUGGAAAGAGUGGAGACUUUAGAAUGAGACAACAUGGGCUUGAAUCCAGGCUCUGCCAAUUAUAGGGUCAAUGAUCUCUGAGACUCAGUUAUCUUAUUUGUGAAAGGGGUGUGAUACCUCCCUCCCAGGGUGUUAUAAACAGUAAUUGGGAUACAACUAAAUAUUGACAUUUAGUCAAUAUUGAAAAGAAUAUCAGAAUAUUCAAUAGAUAAUAAGAUGUAUCACAUUCACAUCCAGUGAAUAAAUAUCCAUGAAUUAAUAGAUCUUUGAGAAAUACAGAUAUCGCCCAAAAGAGAAGCUGGCUUAGGAGGGUUGGGGGCUUUAGAAGAUGGCACAUGACAACUUCAGAGCAAGUUCUCUUGGCGCCGAAUGGCAGGGCAGGCAGCAAAAGUGGUUAGACAUCAAAGAGGUGGGGUUCCUGGGUGGCUCAGCGGUUAAGUGCCUGCCUGCCUUCAGCCCAGGGCAUGAUCCUGGAGACCCAGGAUCAAAUCC